UAAAGAUGCCUUUUAUUUCUUCUUGUUCUUCUAGGAUAAGUCUACUUUUCUUCCACGUAACAACCACAGGAUAGAUGACAUUCAUUUUCUAAGAAACAAAAUCUUGGCAGUUAGAUCCGUGGGGUAAAGAAUAUAGAUACUAAUCCUGAGAGAAUAUGGAAGACACUGUCAGUGUUGGAAGAUGGUGGUUUUAUCACUUUUCAUUGCACUGUCUUUAAAACAUGGGCAAAUUGACUAAAAGAAGACUACAGAAGAAAUAAUGGUGAUUGUGAAUUUGGUAUGAAGCAUGGAUGUUAAUUAAUCACACAUGUUCUCUGAGGUCCAUUGUAAAAGGAGACCUAGUCUUCAGGGAGAGAGCCACUAAUGGGGAGAUCUUAUUCCUAGAAUUUUGUGGUUAUAUUAUUAUUCAUGAACCAAUGAAUAAUAAAUGAAUGAUAUAAAGGAAG
rnacentral:lncRNA from 10 species